rnacentral:rRNA from 1 species
AGUGAACGCUGGCGGUAGGCCUAACACAUGCAAGUCGAACGGCAGCACAGUAAGAGCUUGCUCUUACGGGUGGCGAGUGGCGGACGGGUGAGGAAUACAUCGGAAUCUACUUUUUCGUGGGGGAUAACGUAGGGAAACUUACGCUAAUACCGCAUACGACCUACGGGUGAAAGCAGGGGAUCUUCGGACCUUGCGCGAUUGAAUGAGCCGAUGUCGGAUUAGCUAGUUGGCGGGGUAAAGGCCCACCAAGGCGACGAUCCGUAGCUGGUCUGAGAGGAUGAUCAGCCACACUGGAACUGAGACACGGUCAAGACGCCUACGGGAGGGAGCAGUGGGGAAUAUUGGACAAUGGGCGCAAGCCUGAUCCAGCCAUACCGCGUGGGUGAAGAAGGCCUUCGGGUUGUAAAGCCCUUUUGUUGGGAAAGAAAAGCAGCAGGUUAAUACCCAGCUGUUCUGACGGUACCCAAAGAAUAAGCACCGGCUAACUUCGUG